GGAGUUGUGGCUCAGUGGUAGAGCCACAACUGGCAUGUGUGAGGUUCUGGGUUCAAUCCUCAGCAUCACAU
rnacentral:tRNA from 1 species